rnacentral:lncRNA from 1 species
UCCUCAGCAAAAUCCUAUUCAAAUUAUAAAUAUUUGAAAAAAAUAAGAAAAGGAGAAGAUAUUAGAAUUAAUGUGGGCGAGACUUACGUAUUAUAAUUGCUGGAAGUCUUGCCACAUGUUAAUCUGGUAUUUCUCUCCUUUUCCUUUUUUUUCUUGUUUUUACACUACGAGAUAUUUACGACGAUUUGUACUUACGUGGAAUUAACGGGUUUUAUGUUUAAAUCCUUUUACGUGGUGUUUACGACGAUUUCUGCUUACGUGGAAUUAACGAGUGUUUUGUUUAAAUCCUUUUACGUGGUAUUUACGACGAUUUCAUCCUACGUGGUAUUUACGACGAUUUCAUCAUACGAGGACUUUACGACGAUUUGUGCUUAGGUGGAAUUAACGAGUGUUAGGUUUAAAUCCCUAGAAUCCGAAACCCGAAACCCGAGACCCCAAACCCCAAACCCGAAACCCGAAACCCGAAACUCGAAACCCCAAACCCCAAACCCGAAACCCGAAACCCCAAACCCCAAACCCAAAACCCCAAACCCCUAAACCCAAACCCCCAAACCCAAAACCCCAAACCCGAAACCCCAAACCCCAAACCCGAAACCCCAA